CCUACGGGUGACAGCAGUGAGGAAUAUUGGUCAAUGGGCUUACGCCUGAACCAGCCAAGUCGCGUGAGGGAAGACUGCCCUAUGGGUUGUAAACCUCUUUUGUCAGGGAGCAAUUGGCGCUACGUGUAGCGUUAUCGAGAGUACCUGAAGAAAAAGCAUCGGCUAACUCCGUGCCAGCAGCCGCGGUAAUACGGAGGAUGCGAGCGUUAUCCGGAUUUAUUGGGUUUAAAGGGUGCGUAGGCGGAAUGCCAAGUCAGCGGUAAAAUCGCGGGGCUCAACCUCGCUCCGCCGUUGAAACUGGCGUUCUUGAGUGGGCGAGAAGUAUGCGGAAUGCGUGGUGUAGCGGUGAAAUGCAUAGAUAUCACGCAGAACUCCGAUUGCGAAGACAGCUUACUAAACUGUGACUGACAUUGAUGCUCGAAAGUGUGGGUAUCAAACAGGAUUAGAUACCCCAGUAGUC
rnacentral:rRNA from 1 species